ACCCUGUCCAGCCAAAUCUUAAAAGUGUUCAAUGUUGGGGAAUCCACCUCUUCCCUGGGGAGAUUAUUCCAAUGGUUGAUUGUUCUAAUUGUGAAAAAUUUUCCUCUUUUAAUGAUUUCUCCUU